rnacentral:misc_RNA from 1 species
UAAUAAAAAAAAUAUAAUAAACAUAAAAAAUACAAGGAAUAAAACUAAAAUCUAACUAAUGAGAGGAAAGAAUGAACAUAUGGAAAGAAAGGAGAUGGGAAAUGAGAUAUUUCCUCUUUUUUUCUUCUUAUUGAUGGGUUGGUACAGAUAAGAGCUAAGGAGGGAUGGAAAUGGCUUCUUGUUUCUUUAAUUUUACCAAAACCAAUGAGAUGUAACUUAAAAUUUAUUUGUUGUAGGGGAUAAAAAUAAAAAUUUGUUAAUUUCACUUCCUUUUUUUGGGGAUGAUAGCGGGUAAAAUAUUUAUAAAAAUUACUCUAUUUAAAUUCGAA